UUCAAAAGCGACAUCAAAUGCGCCCUUCAUUUCCCAUGAAAAUGAAGUGUACAUCUUAUGGACACUUCGCACCCUACCAUAUCCCAGAAUCACUUGCGUGCAUAUGACGAAGGUGUUUAUAUUCAGAGGCAGGUGAGAGUUCUGUGGAGGACUUCACAUUGAAAUGCAUGGUUUAUUUGUGAAGUGUCCUGAGACAGGUGAGGGAGCGAGUGGACAGGGAGGACAUCAAACUCAAACAAAUACAUUCUUCAUUAGCCAAGAGAAAACAGUAGGGGAAAAAUGAGUACAUUACAGUUUUUGAUGCAUAAAUUGGAUACAUUACUCAUUUUUUGUGUGCAAUUUAUUCGUAAAUAAGCCUGAGUACUUUCUGUACAUUUUGUAUUUUUGUUUUGCAUAUUCACAUGUGUAAAUAAAAGAAAAGUGCUUAUGUACAUUGUUAAUUUUUUUUCAUGUAGCUUAUAAUUAUUUUCAGAAAACAUUCUUUUAUAUGUUUAUUUGUUUGUCCUGUAAAUACUUUUUUACACAUUAAAACAAAUUGUUCUAUACAUAAUAGAAAGUACUUUUUACAACCAUUUA
rnacentral:lncRNA from 1 species